rnacentral:rRNA from 1 species
AGGACGAACGCUGGCGGCGUGCUUAACACAUGCAAGUCGAGCGAACCUUCGGGUUAGCGGCGAACGGGUGAGUAACACGUGGGCAACCUGCCCCGAGCUCUGGGAUAACCCCGGGAAACCGGGGCUAAUACCGGAUAUGACCCGAGAAGACAUCUUCUCGGGUGGAAAGUUUUUCGGCUCGGGAUGGGCCCGCGGCCUAUCAGCUUGUUGGUGAGGUAACGGCCUACCAAGGCGACGACGGGUAGCC